UACGGAGGGUGCAAGCGUUGUUCGGAAUUACUGGGCGUAAAGCGCGUGUAGGCGGAUAUGGAAGUCAGAUGUGAAAGCCCUCGGCUCAACCGGGGAACUGCAUCUGAAACCACGUAUCUUGAGUAUGUCAGAGGAGAGUGGAAUUCCCAGUGUAGAGGUGAAAUUAAUAGAUAUUGGGAAGAACACCGGUGGCGAAGGCGGCUCUCUGGGACAAUACUGACGCUGAGACGCGAAAGCGUGGGGAGCAAACAGG
rnacentral:rRNA from 1 species